UCCGCUUGCGGGGGGAUCAGUGGCGAACGGGUGAGUAACACGUGGGCAACCUGCCCUCAGCUCUGGGAUAACUCCAAGAAAUUGGGGCUAAUACCGGAUAUGACCGCUGACCGCAUGGUCUGGUGGUGGAAAGAUUUAUCGGCUGGGGAUGGGCCCGCGGCCUAUCAGCUUGUUGGUGGGGUAGUGGCCUACCAAGGCGACGACGGGUAGCCGGCCUGAGAGGGUGACCGGCCACACUGGGACUGAGACACGGCCCAGACUCCUACGGGAGGCAGCAGUGGGGAAUAUUGCGCAAUGGGCGAAAGCCUGACGCAGCGACGCCGCGUGGGGGAUGACGGCCUUCGGGUUGUAAACCUCUUUCAGCAGGGACGAAGCGAAAGUGACGGUACCUGCAGAAGAAGCACCGGCCAACUACGUGCCAGCAGCCGCGGUAAUACGUAGGGUGCAAGCGUUGUCCGGAAUUAUUGGGCGUAAAGAGCUCGUAGGCGGUUUGUUGCGUCGGCUGUGAAAACCUGAGGCUCAACCUCAGGCCUGCAGUCGAUACGAGCAGACUAGAGUGUUGCAGGGGAGACUGGAAUUCCUGGUGUAGCGGUGAAAUGCGC
rnacentral:rRNA from 1 species